rnacentral:rRNA from 1 species
CAGUCGCCGCGGUAAUACAGAGGAUGCAAGCGUUAUCCGGAAUUAUUGGGCGUAAAGGGCUCGCAGGCGGCUUCUUAAGUCUGAUGUGAAAGCCCCCGGCUCAACCGGGGAGGGUCAUUGGAAACUGGGAAACUUGAGCGCAGAAGAGGAGAGUGGAAUUCCACGUGUAGCGGUGAAAUGCGUAGAGAUGUGGAGGAACACCAGUGGCGAAGGCGACUCUCUGGUCUGUAACUGACGCUGAGGAGCGAAAGCGUGGGGAGCGAACAGGAUUAGAUACCCGUGUAGUCCCUGUCUCUUAUAA